rnacentral:tRNA from 20 species
GGAGGGGUGGCCGAGUGGUUGAAGGCAACGGUCUUGAAAACCGUCAACGCGCAAGCGUUCGUGGGUUCGAAUCCCACCCCCUCCG